rnacentral:rRNA from 1 species
AAGGGUGAAAUUAAAGAAAUUGACGGAAGGGCACCACCAGAUGUGGAGCUGCGGCUUAAUUUGACUCAACACGGGAAAAACUUACCAGGUCAAGACAUGAUUAGGAUUGACAGAUUGAAGCUCUUUCUUGAUUCCAUGGUUGGUGGUGCAUGGCCGUCUUAGUUGGUGGAGUGAUUUGUCUGGUUAAUUCCGUUAACGAACGAGACCUCAACCUGAUAAUUAGUUGGAGUCUUUUUUUGACAGUGCUCGGCGUAAUGUCGCAUCGCACCGCUCUUUGGGUGUGUGCUUGUUUCAGUGCGCCGGGUGGCUGUCUACACAGGAAAGAUGGCUGUGUCCACGUUCGUGUCCAACUUCUUAGAGGGACACUCUGUGCCUAGCAGAAGGAAGCUUGAGGCAAUAACAGGUCUGUGAUGCCCCUAGAUGUCCUGGGCUGCACGCGCGCUACACUGGUGCAUUCAACAAGUACAACCUAGGCCGAAAGGUUCGGGUAAUCUUUUGAAAAUGCAUCGUGAUUGGGAUAGAUGAUUGCAAUUUUUCAUCUUGAACGAGGAAUAUCUAGUAAACGCAAGUCAUCAACUUGCAUUGAUUACGUCCCUGCCCUUUGUACACACCGCCCGUCGCUUCUACCGAUGAAUGGUCCGGUGAAUGCGGUGGAGUCGUUUUGACGGAGCUCUUCGAGCAAAGUCAGAUUUGUGCGAAGCCGUAUAAACCUUAUCAUUUAGAGGAAGGAAAAGUCGUAACAAGGUUUCCGUAGGUGAACCUGCAGAGUGGAUC